UACGUAGGGGGCAAGCGUUGUCCGGAAUCAUUGGGCGUAAAGAGCGCGUAGGCGGUCCGGUAAGUCCGCUCUGAAAGUCCGGGGCUCAACCCCGGGAGGCGGGCGGAUACUGUCGGGCUAGAGUCCGGAAGAGGAGAGUGGAAUUCCUGGUGUAGCGGUGAAAUGCGCAGAUAUCAGGAGGAACACCAAUGGCGAAGGCAGCUCGCUGGGACGGUACUGACGCUGAGGCGCGAAAGCGUGGGGAGCAAACAGG
rnacentral:rRNA from 1 species